rnacentral:rRNA from 1 species
UACGUAGGGUGCAAGCGUUAAUCGGAAUUACUGGGCGUAAAGCGUGCGCAGGCGGUUGUGCAAGACCGAUGUGAAAGCCCCGGGCUUAACCUGGGAAUGGCAUUGGUGACUGCACGGCUAGAGUGUGUCAGAGGGGGGUAGAAUUCCACGUGUAGCAGUGAAAUGCGUAGAGAUGUGGAGGAACACCGAUGGCGAAGGCAAUCCCCUGGGCCUGCACUGACGCUCAUGCACGAAAGCGUGGGGAGCAAACAGG